AACGAACGCUGGCGGCAGGCUUAACACAUGCAAGUCGAGCGCCCCGCAAGGGGAGCGGCAGACGGGUGAGUAACGCGUGGGAAUCUACCCAUCUCUACGGAAUAACGCAUGGAAACGUGUGCUAAUACCGUAUAAGUCCUUCGGGAGAAAGAUUUAUCGGAGAUGGAUGAGCCCGCGUUGGAUUAGCUAGUUGGUGGGGUAAAGGCCUACCAAGGCGACGAUCCAUAGCUGGUCUGAGAGGAUGAUCAGCCACACUGGGACUGAGACACGGCCCAGACUCCUACGGGAGGCAGCAGUAGGGAAUAUUGGACAAUGGGCGCAAGCCUGAUCCCGCCAUGCCGCGUGGGUGAUGAAGGCCCUAGGGUUGUAAAGCUCUUUCACCGGUGAAGAUAAUGACGGUAACCGGAGAAGAAGCCCCGGCUAACUUCGUGCCAGCCGCCGCGGUAAGAC
rnacentral:rRNA from 1 species